GAUGAACGCUAGCUACAGGCUUAACACAUGCAAGUCGAGGGGCAGCAGGGAUUUAGCUUGCUAAAUCCGCUGGCGACCGGCGCACGGGUGCGUAACGCGUAUCCAACUUUCCCGUUACUCAGGGAUAGCCUUCCGAAAGGGAGAUUAAUACCUGAUGGUGUUUGAAGUUCGCAUGUUCUUCAAACUAAAGAUUUAUUGGUAAACGAUGGGGACGCGUUCCAUUAGGUAGUAGGCGGGGCAACGGCCCACCUAGCCUGCGAUGGAUAGGGGUUCUGAGAGGAAGGUCCCCCACAUUGGAACUGAGACACGGUCCAAACUCCUACGGGAGCAGCAGUGAGGAAUAUUGGUCAAUGGGGCGAGAGCCUGAACCAGCCAAGUAGCGUGAAGGAUGAAGGUCCUACGGAUUGUAAACUUCUUUUAUACGGGAAUAAAGUUUCCUACGUGUAGGAUUUUGUAUGUACCGUAUGAAUAAGCAUCGGCUAACUCCGUGCCAGCAGCCGCGGUAAAGUCAGAGUG
rnacentral:rRNA from 1 species